rnacentral:rRNA from 1 species
GAUGAACGCUAGCGGCAGGCUUAAUACAUGCAAGUCGAGGGGCAGCAUGAUUGUAGCAAUACAAUUGAUGGCGACCGGCAAACGGGUGCGGAACACGUACACAACCUUCCAAUAAGUGGGGAAUAGCCCAGAGAAAUUUGGAUUAAUACCCCGUAACAUAACGAUGUGGCAUCACAUUGUUAUUAUAGAUUUUUCGCUUAUUGAUGGGUGUGCGGCUGAUUAGAUAGUUGGCGGGGUAACGGCCCACCAAGUCUACGAUCAGUAGCUGAUGUGAGAGCAUGAUCAGCCACACGGGCACUGAGACACGGGCCCGACUCCUAUGGGAGGCAGCAGUAAGGAAUAUUGGACAAUGGACGCAAGUCUGAUCCAGCCAUGCGCGUGAAGGAUUAAGGUCCUCUGGAUUGUAAACUUCUUUUAUAAGGGACGAAAAAAGGCUUUUCUAAGUCGUCUGACGGUACCUUAUGAAUAAGCACCGGCUAACUCCGUGCCAGCCGCCGCCGUAAUAC